UACGUAGGGGGCAAGCGUUGUCCGGAAUCAUUGGGCGUAAAGAGCGUGUAGGCGGCCUGGUAAGUCCGCUGUGAAAGUCCAGGGCUCAACCCUGGAAUGCCGGUGGAAACUGUCAGGCUCGAGUCCGGAAGAGGCGAGUGGAAUUCCAGGUGUAGCGGUGAAAUGCGUAGAUAUCUGGAGGAACACCGGUGGCGAAGGCGGCAUCCUGGACCGGCAUUGACGCUGAGGCGCGAAAGCUAGGGGAGCAAACGGG
rnacentral:rRNA from 1 species